UUCAGACUCACUCUGAUGUCUCCUCUUGCGUUUGGUGGACAGUUUGCUCCCCAUAUUCACUCUCUCACCAAUGAAACAAUGACUGAUCUGACCGGUCUUUAAGGUUUCUAUCAGUUUACUUCAGGGUCAUUUUGAGCUGAACAAACACACCUGAGGACUCCACACAGUCACUGCAGGUAAAAUGAAAAUCCAGGUGAAGGUAAAUGGACCCAGAGGAGAGGAGAAGGUCAUCGAUCUGUGCGACAGUGAAGAGCAGCUGAAGAGGUUCACUGUAAUGCAACUGAAGGAGAAAAUUACUAAAGAACUCGUGAUAGGGGAAGACAUUCGGAUGGUCUUCAGGACCGAGCAGCUGCAGGAAUCAUCCCUGCUGUUGUCCUAUGGGAUUAAACACUUGUCCACCAUCCACACACUGCUGAUGCUGCCUGGAGGCAUCUGAUGUGGACCAGACGCAGAAGAAAAGAUCACAGACUGUAAACCACCUCAACUGGACUAAUAAUAUAUUAUGAGCUCAAAAACAAGCAUUUGUAAAAACAAAUAAAAUGUAAAUGAAAUUAUUAAAUUAAUACAUUAUAGUUAAAUUAAAAUGUAAAUUAUAAUGUAUAAUAAUAUUAUACAUAUAUGUUUAAUAAUAAUAAUUUCUUUCUUUUCAUUGAGUUUGCUGAAUAAAAUUGCAGAGAGAGUCUGUCAAACCUAAACGACUGUAAACCUGUUUGGUCUGAGGGAAAUUUGGGGAUUUUUGUUAUGCUACCAGUUAUUUCCUUUGACAUUGUAAGGGGAACUUGUGCUUCAUUAUCAGGCUGUUUUUUGUAUUUUUCUUCUACUCUUCCUUUAGCCACCAAAUCAGUGCUUUCAUUACAACUGGGUGUGUCGAUCAAUGAUGAUUAUCACAGGUAGCUUUUACCGGUAUAGGCGUUUGUAAGAGGGAUGAGGGUUUUCCCUGCACGGAUGCCUAUAAAUAGGUACCAAUCAUAGGCCAAUCUCAAAAUGACACUGCCAAUAAAAUAAGUAUAUUUGUGAGACAAUACUUAAGCUAAUGUUAUGAAUUAAAUUGGAUUCUUCUGUUUAAUUUUUAUCUUCCAUGUGUUGAACCAUAUUGAUGAAAUUCUGACAUAAUUAAGUAUCCAUACCAUUGUUUGAUUGAAAUUAAAAGAUUAAAAACACUGUGAAAUUGACAGUAAGGUCUAU